rnacentral:rRNA from 1 species
UACGGAGGGUCCAAGCGUUAUCCGGAUUUAUUGGGUUUAAAGGGUGCGUAGGCGGCCUAUUAAGUCAGGGGUGAAAGCCGGUAGCUUAACUAUCGCAGUGCCUUUGAUACUGAUGGGCUUGAAUGAACUAGAGGUAGGCGGAAUGUGACAAGUAGCGGUGAAAUGCAUAGAUAUGUCACAGAACACCAAUUGCGAAGGCAGCUUACUAUGGUCUUAUUGACGCUGAGGCACGAAAGCGUGGGGAGCAAACAGG